CCUACGGGAGGCUGCAGUGGGGAAUAUUGGACAAUGGGGGCAACCCUGAUCCAGCCAUGCCGCGUGUGUGAAGAAGGCCCUCAGGUUGUAAAGCACUUUCAGUGAGGAAGAACGCCUGGUGGUUAAUACCCAUCAGGAAAGACAUCACUCACAGAAGAAGCACCGGCUAACUCCGUGCCAGCAGCCGCGGUAAUACGGAGGGUGCGAGCGUUAAUCGGAAUUACUGGGCGUAAAGCGCGCGUAGGUGGCUUGAUAAGCCGGUUGUGAAAGCCCCGGGCUCAACCUGGGAACGGCAUCCGGAACUGUCAAGCUAGAGUGCAGGAGAGGAAGGUAGAAUUCCCGGUGUAGCGGUGAAAUGCGUAGAGAUCGGGAGGAAUACCAGUGGCGAAGGCGGCCUUCUGGACUGACACUGACACUGAGGUGCGAAAGCGUGGGUAGCAAACAGGAUUAGAUACCCCGGUAGUC
rnacentral:rRNA from 1 species